rnacentral:tRNA from 1 species
CGGGAUGUGGUGUUCAAUGGCAGCAUGCGUGAUUUGGGAUCAUGUGGUCUCGGUUCAAAUCCGGGCAUUCCGA